GGAGAGUAGAGCUCAGUGGUAAAGUGCGUGUUUAGCACACACAAGGUCCUGGAUUCAAUCCCCAGUACCUCUG
rfam:Camelus ferus unplaced genomic scaffold scaffold160, whole genome shotgun sequence.